rnacentral:rRNA from 1 species
GGAAACGUGGCGAAAGGGUGAGUAACGGAUAGACAAUCUACCCUCAACACCGGGAUAAUCCAUCGAAAGGUGAAGUAAUACCGGAUGGUAUACUGUUUCUACGGAGACAGUAUUAAAGGGGGCUUCGGCUUCCGGUUGAGGAGGAGUCUAUUUCCUAUUAGCUUGUUGGUGCGGUAACGGCGCACCAAGGCUGUGAUGGGUAGGGGGCCUUAGCGGGUGGCCCUCCACACUGGGACUGAGACACUGCCCAGGUUCCUACGGGAGGCUGCAAUCGAGAAUCCUCCGCAAUGGGCGAAAGCCUGACGGGGUGACGCCGCGUGACCGAUGAAGGCUCUUACGGGUCGUAAAGGUCUUACAGGGAGUAUGAAAUAUACUGGGGCUAAUAUCUCCAGUAUUUGACGUCAAUCUCAAAUGAAGUCACGGCUAAAUUUGCGCCAGCAGCCGCGGUAAGACAAAUGUGGCAAGCGUUGUUCGGAAUCACUGGGCAUAAAGGGCACGUAGGCGGCGUAGUAAGUUAACUGUGAAAUCCCCCGGCUCAACCGGGGAACUGCAGUUAAUACUGCUGUGCUAGAGUGCAGAAGAGGAGAGUGGAAUUCUAGGUGUAGCGGUGGAAUGCGAAGAUAUCUAGGAGAAGGCCGGUGGCGAAAGCGACUCUCUGGUCUGUUACUGACGCUGAGGUGCGAGAGCGCAGGUAGCGAACGGGAUUAGAUACCCCGGUAGUCUGUGCCGUAAACGAUGGGCACUAGAUGGUGGAGGCGCCGAUAGCUUUCUCCGUCGCAGCUAAUACGUUAAGUGCCCCGCCUGGGGAGUAUGGCCGCAAGGUUAAAACUCAAAGGAAUUGACGGGGGCCCACACAAGCGGUGGAGGAUGUGGCUUAAUUCGAGGAUACCCGUAAAACCUUACCGAGGCUUGACAUGCAGGUGGUAGUGAAGUGAAAGCGGAACGACCCGAAUAGGGAGCCUGCACAGGUGCUGCAUGGCUGUCGACAGCUCGUGUCGUGAGAUGUUAGGUUAAGU